CUCAGAGCAGCAGCCUCUGAUCAUGUGACUCCUCCUCCAUGUGACUGAUCACAUGACGGUGACAUCAUCGCAGGUCCUGUAAGCACACGGCUCCUCUACAGAUACAGGUUUCUCCAAUCCAGGAUCCUCUGCUGAUAUCUUCUAUAUAAGAGAAUUCUCCUGGAUGACCCAUCAACCAUGGGGAGAGACAGGAACAAGAUGGCCGACAGGAUCAUAAACCUCACCCUACAGAUACUCUUCCGGCUUACUGGAGAGGAUUACACAGUAGUGAAGAAGUCCUCUAGUGGGCGCUGUCGGGCCCCUGUGUGUGAAGGAUGAGGAAGAACCCUGAGCCCAAUCCCGGGGCCCCCACCUCACUCCCUGAUACAUGAGGAAAUGGAUGAACAGAAGAUCCGAGAACUCAUCAACAAGAUGAUGGAGCUGCUGA